CUUGUUAUAACUGCAACUUCAUGAGAGAACUAAAUAAUCAUGACAUCCUGGAGUAAUGUAUCUCCCCUUUAGGACUGACUUCUUUGGGAACCUAUCAGCUGAAGAAUCUUCAAAAGCAAAUCGAAAAAAGUUGAAGAUGAAAAUGAAAGGAAAGCAGUCUUUCAAGAAAAGGGCAGCCGCCAAAGAGAAUUCCUCAAGGCUAUAGGGGAAACAGGUCCUGCUGCAGCUUGCUGUCUGUCCUGCAUUGCCAACCCUCCAGGGAGAAGUCUCCAAUUGCUGCAGGUAAGACUCCUUCCUCCUUAGUUCCUGCAGCGGCCUUUGAUCCAGAUGAAAAAGCUUACCUCUCCACCCCUAUUCCCACACCAGCAGUUUGGGAGAGCUGACAGUGAGAGUAGAUUUUAAAGUACUGGAAACUCCUUUGAGUCAGGUGGUGAAACUCUCCAAAAAGGAAGAUUAAGGGAGCUCAGGGGCAAAGGAUAGAGAGUGAGUGAGGG
rnacentral:lncRNA from 1 species